CAGCUAGCUGCUAAAAUCUCCUGAUUUCUAGUCUCUGUUCACUGCAAUAAACUUUUCUUUUUCUCACAAUGGAGAGCCCAUCUUAUUGACAAGUGGAUUCUGCAUAACAUUGUGGUCCCGUGACUGGGUGAGGCCCCACCUCAGGAGCCACUAAACCCACUGGUCAACAUGUUCUUCAGAUUUUGCUUCAGCAUUGCAGGCAAGCUGCUCAGCUCCAUUCUACAUGCUUCAGACCAGUGGAGCCACCUCACAAGACACAGCCAUGGAAUCCAAGACCCUUCCUAGCCAUCACUCGCAGCGGAACCACAGCCCGCUACCACUGGGACAGCUGGGACCUACGCUGCACGAGGACUCGGCCUUCCUCCCUGACACCACUGCUGUGACUGCCUGGCUCUGCUGAAAACAAGGUAGUCUGCACCCAGCCUGAGCCCCAGACAAGGGCCCAGGCUGAGAGGCUCAGACCGCCUGGGAUAUACCAGCGCCACUGCUGCUGCCUGUUUCCCUCCGCCUCUUCUUCCCUUUCACAGGCCCUGGCCCCACAGGUGACACAGCCGCUGCCCUGGACACUAGGCAUGGGGGUCCUGCCUUGAGAGACCCUACACUAAGCGUGCCCAACUCUGCAGGCCCCACUGAGCCUCACACCCCUGCGCUGCCUGCUCCCCGACACCACUCUGGCUCUUACCCCUCUCCUCCUCCGAGACCUCUGAGGGACUGAGGGGCUGCUGGAGGCUCAGUCAGGUGCCAGCGCCCCUGGGAGCCAGAGCUUCACCUCCAAGACUGUCAGUCUGCAAGUCAUACUUCCAUCAGGCAGACUCAAAUUCCAGAAAAUGUAUAAAUGCCUCACUUUUGUGUAUGUUUUAUUUACUUUCAGUCUGGUUUAAUCUGUUUUCAGGGCACUAUGGGUAACUUCUCCCCGGAAAGAGACCAAAUUGUUUCCUUUCUUUUCACCCUCCUCUUGUUCGAUAAUCCAUAAGAAGAGCCUAAGCACUUCCCGCCCCCUUCCCGUGCCCUUUGACCCAGUUAGCCCUCCCAUUUCUUUAACAGUGCCCCUAGGUGAUACCUCUGGUGGUCCCUCCAAGACUGCAGUUCACCCCUUCCCUGCCCCCUUCACUCUUCUCUUACAGAACCUCAUUCGGGAUGGUAACCUGCCAAUCCCAGAUGUUUCCCUAAGUUUUUCUCCCGUGUAGGAUGUCACCGCUGCCCAUUUGUCACCCCGAAGCAGCCGGUGAGAAGCUCUGCCUCCUCUCCCUUCUCUCUAUAUAACAACAAAAUGAUGGGAAUGUCAGGCCUGCCCUGAAUCAACGGGGAAAACAAACAGGCUGCUUUUAACAAAUACCAGCAGCUUCCCAUAAGUGAGUAAGUGGACUAAAACAUAGGGUCUGUCACCCCCGGUGCUGAAUAAUCUAAUCAGUGUAUACGUGCCCGAGCAGACUGUGCGGACCACCCUAAGGUGUGAGUACGUCACCCAGAUUCCUUAGCCCCUUCCGUACCUAUAUAAGCUUAGUCCCUUUCCCAGUUCAUUGCUAGUAUCUCUCCCCGCUGGUGACGUUAUUCUCUCAGGGAUGGAGUCCCUCCCUGCUAGCCACCGCUAUGUCUCUUUCCCUCCCUCCGCCAUUAGAAUCCCGACCUCAGUCUCAUUCCCUUCACUGGAAUAAACGUCUCUUUUUCUCACGACGGAGAGCGUGUCUUUUGUUAAAAGUGGGUUCUGCAUAACAUCUUUUAAAGCUU
rnacentral:lncRNA from 1 species